AAGCGCUUGUGACCAGACUUGUAUUGGGCGGAUCAUCCAGUGUUCUCACUGGUGCACUCUGCUCAGUUCAGGCCAGCAUCGAUUUUCGCCGGGGGACAAAAGCUUUAGGAACGUAGCUCCCUUCGGGGAGUGUUAUAGCCUAUUGCAUAAUACCCCGGCGGGGAUCGAGGACCGCGCUUCGGCAAGGAUGCUGGCGUAAUGGUCAUCAGCGA
rnacentral:rRNA from 1 species